GUUGAACGCUGGCGGCGUGCCUAAUACAUGCAAGUCGAGCGAACGGACGAGAAGCUUGCUUCUCUGAUGUUAGCGGCGGACGGGUGAGUAACACGUGGAUAACCUACCUAUAAGACUGGGAUAACUUCGGGAAACCGGAGCUAAUACCGGAUAAUAUUUUGAACCGCAUGGUUCAAAAGUGAAAGACGGUCUUGCUGUCACUUAUAGAUGGAUCCGCGCCGCAUUAGCUAGUUGGUAAGGUAACGGCUUACCAAGGCAACGAUGCAUAGCCGACCUGAGAGGGUGAUCGGCCACACUGGAACUGAGACACGGUCCAGACUCCUACGGGAGGCAGCAGUAGGGAAUCUUCCGCAAAGGGCGAAAGCCUGACGGAGCAACGCCGCGUGAGUGAUGAAGGUCUUCGGAUCGUAAAACUCUGUUAUUAGGGAAGAACAUAUGUGUAAGUAACUGUGCACAUCUUGACGGUACCUAAUCAGAAAGCCACGGCUAACUACGUG
rnacentral:rRNA from 1 species